AUUAGGGUUCGAUUCCGGAGAGGGAGCCUGAGAAACGGCUACCACAUCUAAGGAAGGCAGCAGGCGCGCAAAUUACCCAAUCCUAAUACAGGGAGGUAGUGACAAGAAAUAACAAUACAGGACCUUUCGGUUUUGUAAUUGGAAUGAGUUAAGUAUAAACCCCUUUACAAGUAUCAAUUGGAGGGCAAGUCUGGUGCCAGCAGCCGCGGUAAUUCCAGCUCCAAUAGCGUAUAUUAAAGUUGUUGCAGUUAAAAAGCUCGUAGUUGGAUUUCUGUUAAUUACUUUAUAUAAUUUUACACUUUUGUGUAGUUAUAUAGUAUUAACAUAAUUCAUAUUACUAUUUUUUUAGUAUAUGAAAUUUUACUUUGAGAAAAUUAGAGUGCUUAAAGCAGGCUUUUGCCUUGAAUACUUCAGCAUGGAAUAAUAAUUAAAGAUUUUUAUCUUUCUUUUAUUGGUUCUAAGAUAAAAAUAAUGAUUAAUA
rnacentral:rRNA from 1 species